UGAUGAUCGAAGCACGGAUCACUGAACUAGCCUCUGCUUUCUUUCCCUCCCCUGUUGCUCUUUAUAUAGGCAGGGAAAAGAUCAAGGGGGGUUGGAUUCUGGAACUUGCAGCAAGGAUAACUGUGAGCAUGGGAUGCAGUCGUGGCUUACUCAAGAAGAUCCACGCAGAUUCACAGAAUACAGCCAUGCAGGGUGACGAUUAUCCAUGGAAAAAGGAGGGGGUAAGGGUGGAGCGCACUGUAGCAGAUUUUUCCACUGAUGAUAUUUCAGCUAUGCACGAGUCUGGAUAUUUCUGCUCCUUCUUAUCCCAACCACCGCUCUAUUUCACAGUGGGACACGACAGGGGAAGAAAAUAU
rnacentral:misc_RNA from 1 species